rnacentral:rRNA from 1 species
AGAGCGAACGCUGGCGGCAGGCCUAACACAUGCAAGUCGAGCGCCCGUAGCAAUACGGGAGCGGCAGACGGGAUAGUAACACGUGGGAACGCGCCCUUCGGUUCGGAAUAACUCAGGGAAACUUGAGCUAAUACCGGAUACGCCCUUACGGGGAAAGAUUUAUUGCCGAAGGAACGGCCCGCGUCCGAUUAGCUAGUUGGCGGGGUAAUGGCCCACCAAGACAGUGAUCGGUAUCC